GACGAACGCUGGCGGCGUGCUUAACACAUGCAAGUCGAACGAAGUAGCGAACGGGUGAGUAACGCGUAAUCAACCUUCCCUUCAGAGGUGGACAACAGUUGGAAACGACUGCUAAUACCGCAUACGGAAGGAGGGGGUUGCGUUGGCUUAGCUAGUUGGGGGGGUAAAGGCCCACCAAGGCGAUGAUCAGGAGCAGGUCUGAGAGGAUGGGCGGCCACAUUGGGACUGUGACACGGCCCAGAGGCAUACGGGCGGGAGCAGUGGGGAUUCGGGCGGCAUGGACGAAAGUCUGAGCGCGAAACGCGGAGGGAGUGAGGAGGGCCUUCGGGUGGUAAAGCUCUGUUAAUCGGGACGCGGUAGCGGAAUAGAAAGCAACGGCUAACUACGUGCCAGCAGCCGCGGUAAUAC
rnacentral:rRNA from 1 species